UACGGAAGGUGCAAGCGUUAAUCGGAAUUACUGGGCGUAAAGCGCACGUAGGCGGAUCUUUAAGUCAGGGGUGAAAUCCCGAGGCUCAACCUCGGAACUGCCUUUGAUACUGGGGAUCUCGAGUCCGGGAGAGGUGAGUGGAACUGCGAGUGUAGAGGUGAAAUUCGUAGAUAUUCGCAAGAACACCAGUGGCGAAGGCGGCUCACUGGCCCGGAACUGACGCUGAGGUGCGAAAGCGUGGGGAGCAAACAGG
rnacentral:rRNA from 1 species